GAUGAACGCUGGCGGCGUGCCUAAUACAUGCAAGUCGAGCGAACAGACGAGGAGCUUGCUCCUCUGACGUUAGCGGCGGACGGGUGAGUAACACGUGGAUAACCUACCUCUAAGACUGGGAUAACUUCGGGAAACCGGAGCUAAUACCGGAUAAUAUAUUGAACCGCAUGGUUCAAUAGUGAAAGACGGUUUUGCUGUCACUUAUAGAUGGAUCCGCGCCGCAUUAGCUAGUUGGUAAGGUAACGGCUUACCAAGGGGACGAUGCGUAGCCGACCUGAGAGGGUGAUCGGCCACACUGGAACUGAGACACGGUCCAGACUCCUACGGGAGGCAGCAGUAGGGAAUCUUCCGCAAUGGGCGAAAGCCUGACGGAGCAACGCCGCGUGAGUGAUGAAGGUCUUCGGAUCGUAAAACUCUGUUAUUAGGGAAGAACAAAUGUGUAAGUAACUAUGCACGUCUUGACGGUACCUAAUCAGAAAGCCACGGCUAACUACGUG
rnacentral:rRNA from 1 species